AGAGUUUGAUCAUGGCUCAGAACGAACGCUGGCGGCGUGCCUAACACAUGCAAGUCGAGCGAGAAAGUUCCCGCAAGGGGAUGAGUAAAGCGGCGAACGGGUGAGUAACACGUGGGCAACCUGCCCUUCAGUCAGGAAUAACCCACCGAAAGGUGGGCUAAUACCGGAUAAUGUCCUUUGGGGGCAUCUUCGGAGGACCAAAGGGGGCGAGCGAAAGCGGCUCCCGCUGAGGGAUGGGCCUGCGGCUGAUUAGCUAGUUGGUGGGGUAGCGGCCUACCAAGGCAACGAUCAGUAGCCGACCUGAGAGGGUGACCGGCCACACUGGGACUGAGACACGGCCCAGACUCCUACGGGAGGCAGCAGUGGGGAAUAUUGCGCAAUGGGCGAAAGCCUGACGCAGCGACGCCGCGUGGGUGAUGAAGGCCUUCGGGUCGUAAAACCCUGUCGGGUGGAACGAAUCUCCUCCCCUCUAAUACAGGAGAGGAUUGACGGUACCACCGAAGGAAGCCCCGGCUAACUACGUGCCAGCAGCCGCGGUAAUACGUAGGGGGCGAGCGUUGUUCGGAUUUACUGGGCGUAAAGAGCGCGUAGGUGGUUCGAUGAGUCGGAGGUGAAAUCCCUCGGCUUAACCGAGGACCCGCGUCCGAUACUGUCGAACUUGAGUGCAGGAGAGGAGAGCGGAAUUCCCAAUGUAGCGGUGAAAUGCGUAGAUAUUGGGAGGAACACCGGUGGCGAAGGC
rnacentral:rRNA from 1 species